UACCAUUAUCUGAAUGAUACCAAGUCACAGGUAAAAGCAGUUCUUUAAAUUCCUACCUUCCCUUUGGUAUUGGUCAAUCAUUAAACAGGUAAUGUCACUGGGUAACCAUUAGACAGGUGUAAGUGCUGUUUAAUCAUUAAUCAGAUAACAACACUGCUUAGACAUUAGAGGGGGUUGUGCCUUUGGUUAUCCAUUAGCCAGGAAGCUGAUUGACUGUUCCACGAAGGGUGCAGGAGCAGCAGAACUUGCUUAGUCAGAAGAGUGAUAAGCAAUGAGUUCCAAACAGCAAUGUGUGAAACUGAAUGAUGGCAACUUCAUCCCUGCGCUGGGCUUUGGCACCUACAAACCAGAAGAGGUUAAUGAAAAUAAGCCACUGGAGGCUAUCCAUUUAGCUCUAGAGGCUGGGUUCCGCCAUAUUGAUACUGCUUAUGUGUACCAAACUGAAAAUCAUGUAGGGCAGGCUAUUCGAAGCAAGAUUGCAGCUGGCCUUGUGAAAAGAGAAGACAUAUUCCUCACUACAAAGCUUUGGUGCACUUUCCAUAGGCCAGAGCUGGUUCGCUCUAACUUGGAGAAAUCUUUGAAAAACCUGCAGCUGGAUUAUGCUGACCUCUAUCUUAUACAUUAUCCCGUGCAAAUGAAGCCAGGGGAAGAUCUGUUUCCAGAAGAUGAGCAUGGAAAAACAUUAUUUGACACAGUGGAUAUAUGUGCCACAUGGGAGGCCAUGGAGAAGUGUAAGGAUGCAGGAUUGGUCAAGUCCAUUGGUGUGUCCAACUUUAAUAGCAGGCAGCUGGAGAAAAUUCUGAAUAAGCCUGGGCUCAAAUACAAGCCUGUUUGCAACCAGGUGGAAUGCCAUCUCUACUUGAACCAGAGGAAGCUGUUGAACUACUGCAAGUCAAAGGACAUUGUUCUAGUUGCCUACUGUGCUCUUGGAUCUCAACGACCUAAGCGAUGGGUAGACCCAAGCUCUCCAGUUCUCUUGAAUGAUCCAAUUCUUUGUGACAUGGCAAAAAAGCACAAGCGAAGUCCAGCUCAGAUUGCCCUUCGCUAUCAUCUCCAACGUGGAAUUGUGGUUCUUGCCCAGAGUUACAAAGAGAAUGAGAUAAAAGAGAACAUACAGGUGACCAGAGAGGCUGCAGACAUUGGCCUCCUACAUGCUAUCUCACUAUCUUUCCUCUAUUUUCUUCUCUGAAAUCUCUCAGGGCAUUUUUCUUUUCUGAGUCAAUCUCUUAGCAUUGCUUACACAUAUGAGACUUCAUUUGCAUUCAGAAGUGCUCUGUACUAAACACAAAUGUCAAGUUAACUUGAUAGAAUUAGUUUUAGGGAGAGCACAGAGAUUUAGGAUUCAGCGUGAAGUCAGCCAUGCACUUGUGAACAGCUCCUCUGCAAGGGAUCUCUUUAUUGCUUGCUGAAAUGAGAGUGUAAGUUUGGAUAGAUAUUUUGAUAUGACAAUCUUUGAUGCUUUAUUUUGUACUUGGCCUGCAUAGUCACAUAUUUUGCUUAAUUUUGUUUAUUCAUUUUUAAGUUUAUGUGUAUAAAUCUUUUGGCUGAAUAUAUGUACAUGUACCGUACACAUUCCUGGUGCCCACAGAGGCCAGAAAAUGGUAUCAUAUACCCCAGAACUGGAGGUGUGGAUGGUCGUGAGCAACCCUGUGGGUACUAGGGAUCAAAUUUGCCCAAAAAGAGCAGUUAGUGCUCUAAAUUACCAAGCCAUCUCUCCAGGCCUGUGCUCACACAUUUUAAUAUGAUUAUAUUUCUUUCUAGCUUCCCUAGCUAAGUGCAUAUUAUUUUCUUGAAGACUUACCUAUGCAGAUGAUCUUUUAUUUUCAACUACAAGAACUAUGUUGUACUAUUACCUAAAGUAGUUGCAAAGUGAACAAGUUCCAACAUAGAGCUUUAAUAUAAAGAGUCUUAUUUAGUUCAUUUGUCCAUGAUCUUAAAUUCUUUUUUAGUUUGGCCUGAAUACAGAGGCAUAUCUCUAGCUGGGAUUCACUCAGAUAUGUUCAUAAAACUGUUGUAUAUGUUUGCAAGAUGAUGAGGUCCAUCUACCUCAGGAUUCAGUUUGUCUCUGAUGUUCUUUAACUUCAAAUAAUUUUCAUUCAGUGGCCAAAUGGCAUAAGCUUCACCUCUCCACGUGUUCUCCUUCAAGUCACUGAGUAGAUAUUUGCAAAGAUUUUAAACUUAGGCCAAUAAUUAUUAUUAUAUCAUUUUCUCCUGCUAAUUUGUAGAGGUUAAUGUAAGCUAUAAAGCAUUAAGAGCUGGGAGAUAGCUCAGUGCUAAAACUCUUGCCUAGCAACCAUGGGACUGAUUCUCCAGAACUCUUAUAAGAUUCCAAGUGGAUGUGGUGCUCUCCUCUAUCUCCAGCCUUGUCGGCAGACAGGGGAUCCCCAGAAUAAUCCGGCAGGUGAAAAUAGCCAUAUUGGUGAGCUCUGAUCUGAUGGAGAGACCCUCCCCUAGGAAAUGAGGUACAAUUGCUAAGAGGAUGAAGCCUGAUAAAAACCUCAGGUUUGCACACACACACACACACACACACACACACACACACACACACCCAUGCAAACAAGAAUAAACAUAUACAUUCAUACAUAUAUUUAUUCAUUCACUCAAUAUAUAUAUUCAUGAGCUAAAGCUCUUCUUUUUAUUGUGAUUAUUCCUUUACUUUGUGGUUAAAUAUGUUCUUUCUUCAUUAAGAAUAGAAUGCUAUAUGCCUUUUUUGUUUACAGAUGUGUUACAAACUCUUCUUUAAUGGAAGUACAAUUAAUGAAGUCAUGUAAAGUAAAAAUUCAAAAAACACUUAAGUAAUUUUCUAAAUGUCUAUGUGGUGUUGCCUGCAAGAAUACUUAUAUCCAUGGAUUUUCUCUGUCUUAUUUAUGCUCACCCUUUCUCAAAUUAUGUUGGAAUAUCAGUCUUGCUGAACAAAGUGACAAUCAUUUUGAUCUACCUUCUUGUAUUUAAAAAUAGGACAAAUUACUUCAACAGUAUGGAUGUUUAAACAAGACCUGGAUAAGAGAACAGUACCAAAAGUCACUCCUACAUGAUGGGCAGAGCUCUCAUGAAGGGGCAUCCUUAGACAGAGAGCUGGAGGCAAUUAACGUUUUCUAAGAGUCUAAGAGCAAAAGAAUGUCUUGCUUAGGAUAAGCUCCUUAAUUGCUCAUUCAGUACCAACUAGUUAGACACUGAAUCACAUAUAUACAAGCAACACUAAGUGUUGUGGCUGGCCAGCGGCUCACAUGUCUGGGUUCUAACCUGGGAGGCAUUCUGGAAUCUGGAAGAGAAGAGGGAGCUAGGCGGCGCGAGAGAGAGGGAACCAAGACAACCGUCUGAUCAAGGUUCAAUUUUACUAUUCCGGACACUGGGUUAUGAAGCAGGGGAAGGGGCCCACUCCCGCCAAGUCAUCCUGGGAGUCCAGUUGCAGGUAUUUGAAUUUGAGCUGCCUUCAGAGGAUAUGAAAAUCCUAGAUAGCCUGGACAGAAAUUUAAGAUAUGCACCUGCUCCAUUUGGAGAGGGUCACCCAGAAUAUCCCUUUUCUGAUGAAUUUUAGUGUAGAGACCUGUGUCAUGACUUCUACGCACAGCUCAAAGUGUCUUUAUAAGGAUUGUGGUGUGUGUGACAUAUCAGAUGAUGCAGAUUCAGCAUGUGUCACUUCUGCUCAGUCUGAGCCGCCUGACAACCCUCCUUCAGCCAGAGCUGUGUCCACCAGUCCGGAACAUAAGUCACUACAUUUUCAUCAUUCUUUGACAUUGUUGUAAUACUUGUUAUAAAGAUCUUUCUUUGGUCAGGAU